AACAAACGCUGGCGGCGUGCCUAACACAUGCAAGUCGUACGAGAAAGGGUCCUUCGGGGCCUGAGUAAAGUGGCGCACGGGUGAGCAACGCGUGGAUAAUCUGCCCUUCAGUUGGGAAUAACUCAUCGAAAGGUGGGCUAAUACCGAAUAAUGCUGUGAGACCUCGGUUGAUCAGCCAAAGAGAGCCUCUGCUUGCAAGCCCUCGCUGAAGGAUGAGUCCGCGUACCAUUAGCUAGUUGGUAGGGUGAUGGCCUACCAAGGCGACGAUGGUUAGCUGGUCUGAGAGGAUGAUCAGCCACACUGGAACUGAGACACGGGCCAGACUCCAGGGGGAGGCAGCAGUGAGGAAUCUUGCGCAAUGGGGGCAACCCAGACGCAGCAGCGCCGCGUGAGUGAGGAAAGUCUUCGGAUCGUAAAGCUCUGUCGGAUGGAAAGAACCGCAUAGGGGUAAACAGCCCCUGUGUCUGACGGUACCAUCAAAGGAAGCACCGGCUAACUCCGUGCCUGCAGCCGCCGCCGUAA
rnacentral:rRNA from 1 species